rnacentral:rRNA from 1 species
UACAGAGGUCCCGAGCGUUGUUCGGAUUCACUGGGCGUAAAGGGUGCGUAGGUGGCCUAAAAAGUUUGAUGUGAAAGCUCAGGGCUUAACCCUGAAAUGGCAUUGAAUACUGUUGGGCUGGAGGUUUGGAGGGGGACUGGAAUUCUUGGUGUAGCAGUGAAAUGCGUAGAUAUCAAGAGGAACACCAGUGGCGAAGGCGAGUCCCUGGACAACACCUGACACUGAGGCACGAAAGCCGGGGGAGCAAACAGG